UAGCAGCUCAAGAGAGAAGAUCUAACUGAAUCAAUUAUUAGGAACCAAGGAGUAUGUAGCAGACAUUUCAUAACGGUGUAACGAAGGAAGUGAUCUGGGUGAUACAGAGCAAGCAGGGCAAAGCAGAUUGAGAGGCUGUGCUAAACAAACAGACUUGACAAUGACCAUGUUAAGUACACAAGUUGAGCAGUUCAACUU